CGCAUGCAGAGGCCAGAGGAAUGGCCUUGCACAUUAUUGCUGAGCACCAAUGGUCCAUUUCUUGCGAGGGAAUGGAAGAACGUCUGAAAUGAAAAAAGAAAAAUAUGAAACGCUGAUCAGGUAGGAAGAAGAAGAAGAACGUCCUGCGCUGUCACGGUUUGGUUGGAACGGAAGUAGCAAUCAGACUUGGUCAGAUUAGCACAAAUCUUUAAUGCAGCUGAUAGAUUUGUAUGUAAAACUUUGUUAUCUUGUAUAUACUUCAAUCAAGUUUUCGGAUAUGACAAAGAAGUGCCUGCUUUUCCGGUCCAAUUCAACGGACUCGUAAUCAAAAUUUAUUAGUGAAGAAA